GAUGAACGCUGGCGGCGUGCCUAACACAUGCAAGUCGAACGAAGCACUGAGAGUUUGAGAUUUCGGUCAAGAACACUCUUUGACUUAGUGGCGGACGGGUGAGUAAUGCGUGAGCAACCUGCCUUUCAGAGGGGGACAACAGUUGGAAACGACUGCUAAUACCGCAUGAUAUAUUCGGAUCGCAUGGUCUGGAUAUCAAAGAUUUAUCGCUGAAAGAUGGGCUCACGUCUGAUUAGUUAGUUGGUGAGGUAACGGCUCACCAAGACUGCGAUCAGUAGCCGGACUGAGAGGUUGAACGGCCACAUUGGGACUGAGAUACGGCCCAGACUCCUACGGGAGGCAGCAGUGGGGAAUAUUGGGCAAUGGGCGAAAGCCUGACGGAGCAACGCCGCGUGAGUGAAGAAGGUCUUCGGAUCGUAAAGCUCUGUUGUCGGGGACGAAUGUUGAGACCAAGAACAUAGG
rnacentral:rRNA from 1 species